rnacentral:rRNA from 1 species
GACGUAGGGCGCGAGCGUUGUCCGGAUUUAUUGGGCGUAAAGAGCUCGUAGGCGGCUUGUCGCGUCGACUGUGAAAACCCGCGGCUCAACCUCGGGCCUGCAGUGGGUACGGGCAGACUCGAGUCCGGUAGGGGAGUUCGGAAUUCCCGGUGUAGCGGUGAAAUGCGCAGAUAUCAGGAGGAACACCGAUGGCGAAGGCAGGUCUCUGGGCCACUACUGACGCUGAGAAGCGAAAGCAUGGGGAGCGAACAGG